rnacentral:rRNA from 1 species
UACGUAGGGGGCAAGGCGUUGUCCGGAUUUAUUGGGUCGUAAAGCGCUCACAGGUACCAGCAUGCGUCGUGUCGUGAAAGACCCCGGCUCAACUGGGGACGGUCGUGCGAUACGGUCGGGCUGGAGGCCAGUAGGGGGAUGCGGAAUUCCACGUGUAGCGGUGAAAUGCGUAGAGAUGUGGAGGAACACCAGUGGCGAAGGCGGCUUUUUGGUCUGUAACUGACGCUGAGGCGCGAAAGCGUGGGGAGCAAACAGG